CUUGAGUCAAUCACUCAGCUCUCAUGAUCAGGAACGCGGUGAAAAUGCCAAAAAGUAAACUUUUGAGGCAGCGAUGAACGGACCUAAAUAUGAAAAGACACAACAUUUACAAUCCAUCCAAGCACUGGAACAGCCAACACUCCCAGUCCUACGUCCCUGACAGUCUCAGCAUGUUGUCGUCUGUCUUCCUGAUUUUAAAGUGUCUGUCUUGCUGAACGCAGAUUUUCCUUGAGCAUGCUCCAAAGCUCCUUCAGAUUCUUCUCUCCAAACUUUCAUCCUGAAGAGGCUUCCUGCUCUGACCGCUGCAGGCUCUGCUCUGUCCUCUUAAUCUGCUGCCUAAUGGCAUUGUAGUUGGAGCAUUUCCCACUGAUGGGAUCUACAUCUGCAUCAAUGAGGGUCUUGUAGACAAUGUUGAGGGAGCAGAUACCAUCUUUCAGUGGCACCAUAAAAGCCUCAGCUGUGUUUUUACCACAACACUGGAAAACAUAAACAAGAGACAAACAGAAAAAAAUGUCAACAGAAAAAUAGCAUGUGUUUGGUCAAGACAUUGGUACUUUAUAAGUAACUAAAAGGGGUCAUAAUGAAACCAGAUGAACUGUCUUUCAAAACAAGCCAGAGUCCUUGCUUUUUCUUUUCAAGGAAAGCUUGAAUGUAUGCAUUACUUUCUUGGCAAAAACGUUCACUUGCAGGUCACAGUGCAAAGCAGGCACCCCUCCUAAUUGUCCAAUUUGUCUUUACUGUUUAUUAUUUACUGUUUUUUUUUUUUAGAUUUUAAGAUUUCUUACAUUAAUGACAUGCUACAAGUUGGCAAAAGGGAUUCUGGUUGGUUUAUCUUGUUCACAGCAA